rnacentral:rRNA from 1 species
AUAUCUCGGCUCUUGCAUCGAUGAAGAACGUAGCGAAAUGCGAUACUUGGUGUGAAUUGCAGAAUCCCGUGAACCAUCGAGUCUUUGAACGCAAGUUGCGCCCGAAGCCAUUAGGCUGAGGGCACGCCUGCCUGGGUGUCGCCCAUCGUUGCCCCAGUGCCUUG